AUAACAUGUAUCUAACGGUAGAGGUGAUGACAUUAAUCAAAUAAUGGAUGCAUGGAAUCGUGGACGUGGACGAUGCUGCAUCGAUAAUCAGCCGGGCCAUAAUCCAUUAUUUCUGUUUAUAUUUUAAAGUAGGCCUAACAACCUUUCUGUUGACAUAUUCUGGGAUGUUUUGCACAUUCAGGAAGUGCCGUGUGCUCAGUGCUGUAGGUUUAAUAUCCAGUUUAUUUAGUAUCAGAGCUCUGCAGAAUGUUUGGUUGUUGGAGCUUGAAAAGCUCUGAAUUAAAUAUCAUAUAUGGCUUCAAUA